rnacentral:lncRNA from 1 species
CCUCCCACUCUUUUUCCUAGCGAAAGAACCAAUCACCACCAUCCCCUCCACCGCUAGAAAAAACACCACGGCCCCAAUUAACAAAAAGAGAUACAAAUCCUCGUAAUUACCACCUUCCUCUACCAUGUCUUAGCCGACAAUGCCCCCAUUAUGGCCUCAUUGGCUAAAUCUCUGUCCUCGUCUCCUCUACUUUGGUCUGGCUCCAAAUCUGAGAGAAAAUACUUUAAGCCCAAUUUCUCCUUUAAUCUGAGAGAUAACUCUUCGAGAUCUCCAAUGGAUAGUAAAUCAAAGGCACUACUUCUUUACUAUAUCUCAAAAGUGCUCUCAGCAAUCUUCAGAGUUUUCGCCCCAUUGAGGAAUGAGAUCCCUGAAAAUUGUCUUGGUACGACACCGUUGGCCCUUGAAAUCCACAGUCCACGAUCACAUGUGCAUUGGUCGUGCCUUGGCCAUCUUUCUGCAUUAGAUUCUUGAUCGAUUUGACUCAAGGAGAAAUAUCAUAUUCAAUUUUAAGAAUUCAUUUUGAAAAACUGGUUUGGGAAAUUUUGAUUUGAGAAAUAUGUAGAGAAUGAUUCAUGGUGUUGGGUGAAUGGCGAGUGAAGGUUGAAGGGAGAGGUGGUGGAGGCAAUCACGAUGGUGGCGAUUUUGGUUAGGGUGGGGGUGGAGGUGGGGUAGGGCUGGGUAGGUUGGAGAAGAGGUGGGAGGAAAAAGAAACCCCUUUUUCCAUUUUUCUUUU